AAACUUUUUCUGUCAACCAAACGC
rnacentral:siRNA from 1 species